AGUGAGGAAUAUUGGUCAAUGGGCGAAAGCCUGAACCAGCAACGCCGCGUGGGGGAUGAAGGCCUUCGGGUCGUAAACCUCUUUUCUGGGAGAAGAGACAAGGACGGUAUCCCAGGAAUAAGUCUCGGCUAACUACGUGCCAGCAGCCGCGGUAAAACGUAGGAGGCAAGCGUUAUCCGGAUUUACUGGGCGUAAAGCGCGCGCAGGCGGCUGUGUAAGUCGGACGUGAAAGCUCCCGGCUCAACUGGGAGAGGUCGUUUGAAACUGCACGGCUUGAGGUUGGAAGAGGAGAGCGGAAUUCCCGGUGUAGUGGUGGAAUGCGUAGAUAUCGGGAGGAACACCAGUGGCGAAAGCGGCUCUCUGGUCCAAAUCUGACGCUCAUGUGCGAAAGCGUGGGUAGCGAACGCGAUUAGAUACCCCGGUAGUCCACGCUGUAAACGAUGCGAACUAGGUGUUGGCAGUAUUAAACCUGUCAGUGCCGUAGCUAACGCGAUAA
rnacentral:rRNA from 1 species